rnacentral:rRNA from 1 species
AACGGAAAGGCCCUGCUUGCAGGGUACUCGAGUGGCGAACGGGCGAGUAACACGUGGGUGAUCUGCCCUGCACUUCGGGAUAAGCUUGGGAAACUGGGUCUAAUACCGGAUAGGACCGCACUUUAGUGUGUGUGGUGGAAAGUUUUUUCGGUGUAGGAUGAGCUCGCGGCCUAUCAGCUUGUUGGUGGGGUAAUGGCCUACCAAGGCGGCGACGGGUAGCCGGCCUGAGAGGGUGUACGGCCACAUUGGGACUGAGAUACGGCCCAGACUCCUACGGGAGGCAGCAGUGGGGAAUGUUGCACAAUGGGCGCAAGCCUGAUGCAGCGACGCCGCGUGGGGGAUGAAGGCCUUCGGGUUGUAAACUCCUUUCGCUAGGGACGAAGCUUUUUGUGACGGUACCUAGAUAAGAAGCACCGGCUAACUACGUGCCAGCAGCCGCGGUAAUACGUAGGGUGCGAGCGUUGUCCGGAAUUACUGGGCGUAAAGGGCUCGUAGGUGGUUUGUCGCGUCGUCUGUGAAAUUCUGGGGCUUAACUCCGGGCGUGCAGGCGAUACGGGCAUAACUUGAGUGCUGUAGGGGUAACUGGAAUUCCUGGUGUAGCGGUGAAAUGCGCAGAUAUCAGGAGGAACACCGAUGGCGAAGGCAGGUUACUGGGCAGUUACUGACGCUGAGGAGCGAA